rnacentral:rRNA from 1 species
GUAUGGAGCAAGCGUUAUCCGGAUUUACUGGGUGUAAAGGGAGCGCAGGCGGCCUGGCAAGUCUGAUGUGAAAUACCGGGGCUCAACCCCGGGGCUGCAUUGGAAACUGUGGGGCUGGAGUGUCGGAGAGGCAGGCGGAAUUCCUAGUGUAGCGGUGAAAUGCGUAGAUAUUAGGAGGAACACCAGUGGCGAAGGCGGCCUGCUGGACGGUGACUGACGCUGAGGCUCGAAAGCGUGGGGAGC